UACGAAGGGGGCUAGCGUUACUCGGAUUGACUGGGCGUAAAGGGCGCGUAGGCGGUUUGUACAGUCAGACGUGAAAUUCCUGGGCUCAACCUGGGGGCUGCGUUUGAUACGUGCAGACUUGAGUUCGGAAGAGGGUCGUGGAAUUCCCAGUGUAGAGGUGAAAUUCGUAGAUAUUCGGAAGAACACCAGUGGCGAAGGCGGCUCACUGGACCGGUAUUGACGCUGAGGUGCGAAAGCGUGGGGAGCAAACAGG
rnacentral:rRNA from 1 species